UACGUAGGGCGCAAGCGUUUGUCCGGAAUUAUUGGGCGUAAAGAGCUCGUAGGCGGCUUGUCACGUCGGGUGUGAAAGCCCGGGGCUUAACCCCGGGUCUGCAUUCGAUACGGGCAGGCUAGAGUGUGGUAGGGGGAGAUCGGAAUUCCUGGUGUAGCGGUGAAAUGCGCAGAUAUCAGGAGGAACACCGGUGGCGAAGGCGGAUCUCUGGGCCAUUACUGACGCUGAGGAGCGAAAGCGUGGGGAGCGAACAGG
rnacentral:rRNA from 1 species